AACCUGAUUAUCCUUUACGGUUAAGUAAUGCCCAGUUCGCUCCAGAUGAGCAACCUGCAUAAAGUACCCUGAAAGCAUUGCUUUCCUGAUGUUGACAUAGUACUCACGACUGUUGAAGUCUGUACUGCACAUCUUGAGGUUGAAUCUGGUCAUGAUGCGGACAAGUUGUUGUCUAACAUUAUCAGCAGACUUCAUCGCCCGGGCAUUGACAAAAUUCUCAUAACACCAUGUAGGAUCCUCAUCUGCAUACUUGUAUGCAUGGUACACGUUCAAAAGUGUCAGAUGAUCCCCAUCGAUGUGCCCAAAUCGAGCCUUCGCCUCAUCAGCAGCCUUUUGUGCCUCCCUAGGCCGGAGAAAGCAAUUGGGUACUAG
rnacentral:rRNA from 1 species